rnacentral:rRNA from 1 species
ACUCCUGCGGGAGGCAGCAGUGGGGAAUUUUGGACAAUGGGCGAAAGCCUGAUCCAGCAAUGCCGCGUGUGUGAAGAAGGCCUUCGGGUUGUAAAGCACUUUUGUCCGGAAAGAAAUCCUUGGCUCUAAUACAGUCGGGGGAUGACGGUACCGGAAGAAUAAGCACCGGCUAACUACGUGCCAGCAGCCGCGGUAAUACGUAGGGUGCGAGCGUUAAUCGGAAUUACUGGGCGUAAAGCGUGCGCAGGCGGUUUGCUAAGACCGAUGUGAAAUCCCCGGGCUCAACCUGGGAACUGCAUUGGUGACUGGCAGGCUAGAGUAUGGCAGAGGGGGGUAGAAUUCCACGUGUAGCAGUGAAAUGCGUAGAGAUGUGGAGGAAUACCGAUGGCGAAGGCAGCCCCCUGGGCCAAUACUGACGCUCAUGCACGAAAGCGUGGGGAGCAAACAGGAUUAGAAACCCGGGUAGUCCCA